GAACGAACGCUGGCGGCAGGCCUAACACAUGCAAGUCGAGCGAGGACUUCGGUUCUCGCGGCGGACGGGUGAGUAACGCGUGGGAAUGUGCCCUUCUCUACGGAAUAGCCCUGGGAAACUGGGAGUAAUACCGUAUACGCCCUAUUGGGGAAAGAUUUAUCGGAGAAGGAUCAGCCCGCGUUGGAUUAGGUAGUUGGUGGGGUAAUGGCCUACCAAGCCGACGAUCCAUAGCUGGUUUGAGAGGAUGAUCAGCCACACUGGGACUGAGACACGGCCCAGACUCCUACGGGAGGCAGCAGUGGGGAAUCUUAGACAAUGGGGGCAACCCUGAUCUAGCCAUGCCGCGUGAGUGAUGAAGGCCUUAGGGUUGUAAAGCUCUUUCAGCUGGGAAGAUAAUGACGGUACCAGCAGAAGAAGCCCCGGCUAACUCCGUG
rnacentral:rRNA from 1 species